GGGUUGUGAGGUUAAGCGACUAAGCGUACACGGUGGAUGCCCUGGCAGUCAGAGGCGAUGAAGGACGUGCUAAUCUGCGAUAAGCGUCGGUAAGGUGAUAUGAACCGUUAUAACCGGCGAUUUCCGAAUGGGGAAACCCAGUGUGAUUCGUCACACUAUCAUUAACUGAAUCCAUAGGUU
rnacentral:rRNA from 1 species